rnacentral:rRNA from 1 species
AGUUUGAUCCUGGCUCAGGACGAACGCUGGCGGCGUGCCUAACACAUGCAAGUCGAACGAAGCUCUGCGAUACAAGACUUCGGUCAAGUUGAACGGAUGACUUAGUGGCGGACGGGUGAGUAACGCGUGAGGAACCUGCCUUUCAGUGGGGGACAACAGUUGGAAACGACUGCUAAUACCGCAUAAUGUAUUCUGACCGCAUGAUCGGAAUACCAAAGAUUUAUUGCUGAAAGAUGGCCUCGCGUCUGAUUAGAUAGUUGGUGAGGUAACGGCCCACCAAGUCGACGAUCAGUAGCCGGACUGAGAGGUUGAACGGCCACAUUGGGACUGAGAUACGGCCCAGACUCCUACGGGAGGCAGCAGUGGGGAAUAUUGGGCAAUGGGGGAAACCCUGACCCAGCAACGCCGCGUGAAGGAAGAAGGCUUUCGGGUUGUAAACUUCUUUUACCAGGGACGAAGGACGUGACGGUACCUGGAGAAAAAGCCACGGCUAACUACGUGCCAGCAGCCGCGGUAAUACGUAGGUGGCAAGCGUUGUCCGGAUUUACUGGGUGUAAAGGGCGUGUAGGCGGAGAAGCAAGUCAGAAGUGAAAUCCAUGGGCUUAACCCAUGAACUGCUUUUGAAACUGUUUCCCUUGAGUAUCGGAGAGGCAGGCGGAAUUCCUAGUGUAGCGGUGAAAUGCGUAGAUAUUAGGAGGAACACCAGUGGCGAAGGCGGCCUGCUGGACGACAACUGACGCUGAGGCGCGAAAGCGUGGGGAGCAAACAGGAUUAGAUACCCUGGUAGUCCACGCUGUAAACGAUGAAUACUAGGUGUGGGAGGACUGACCCCUUCCGUGCCGCAGUUAACACAAUAAGUAUUCCACCUGGGGAGUACGAUCGCAAGAUUGAAACUCAAAUGAAUUGACGG